rnacentral:rRNA from 1 species
UGGGGAGUACGGUCGCAAGAUUAAAACUCAAAGGAAUUGACGGGGACCCGCACAAGCGGUGGAUGAUGUGGAUUAAUUCGAUGCAACGCGAAAAACCUUACCUACCCUUGACAUGUCCGGAAUCCUGCAGAGAUGCGGGAGUGCCCGAAAGGGAAUCGGAACACAGGUGCUGCAUGGCUGUCGUCAGCUCGUGUCGUGAGAUGUUGGGUUAAGUCCCGCAACGAGCGCAGCCCUUAUCAUUAGCUGCUACGCAAGGGCACUCUAAUGAGACUGCCGGUGACAAACCGGAGGAAGGUGGGGAUGACGUCAAGUCCUCAUGGCCCUUAUGGGUAGGGCUUCACACGUCAUACAAUGGUCGGUACAGAGGGUUGCCAAGCCGCGAGGUGGAGCCAAUCCCAGAAAGCCGAUCGUAGUCCGGAUUGUUCUCUGCAACUCGAGAGCAUGAAGUCGGAAUCGCUAGUAAUCGCGGAUCAGCAUGUCGCGGUGAAUACGUUCCCGGGUCUUGUACACACCGCCCGUCACACCAUGGGAGUGGAAUCUGCCAGAAGUAGGUAGCCUAACCGCAAGG